rnacentral:rRNA from 1 species
GCAGUCGAGCGGACAGAUGGGAGCUUGCUCCCUGACGUUAGCGGCGGACGGGUGAGUAACACGUGGGCAACCUGCCCCUUAGACUGGGAUAACUCCGGGAAACCGGAGCUAAUACCGGAUAAUCCCUUUCUCCACCUGGAGAGAGGGUGAAAGAUGGCUUCGGCUAUCACUAGGGGAUGGGCCCGCGGCGCAUUAGCUAGUUGGUGAGGUAACGGCUUACCAAGGCGACGAUGCGUAGCCGACCUGAGAGGGUGAUCGGCCACACUGGGACUGAGACACGGCCCAGACUCCUACGGGAGGCAGCAGUAGGGAAUCUUCCGCAAUGGACGAAAGUCUGACGGAGCAACGCCGCGUGAGUGAGGAAGGCCUUCGGAUCGUAAAGCUCUGUUGUGAGGGAAGAACCGGUGCCGUCAAAUAGGGCGGUACCUUGACGGUACCUCACCAGAAAGCCACGGCUAACUACGUGCCAGCAGCCGCGGUAAUACGUAGGUGGCAAGCGUUGUCCGGAAUUAUUGGGCGUAAAGGGCGCGCAGGCGGCUUCUUAAGUCUGAUGUGAAAUCUCGCGGCUCAACCCCGAACGGUCAUUGGAAACUGGGGAGCUUGAGUGCAGAAGAGGAGAGUGGAAUUCCACGUGUAGCGGUGAAAUGCGUAGAGAUGUGGAGGAACACCAGUGGCGAAGGCGACUCUCUGGUCUGUAACUGACGCUGAGGCGCGAAAGCGUGGGGAGCGAACAGGAUUAGAUACCCUGGGUAGUCCACGCCGUAAACGAUGAGUGCUAGUGUUAGGGGGUUUCCAUGCCCCGUAGUGCUGCAGCUAACACAUUAAGCACUCCGCCUGG